rnacentral:rRNA from 1 species
UUACGCUGUUAUCCCUAAGGGUAAUUUAGUAUUAUAAUCAACAAAAAUGGAUCAAAUAUAUAUAAAUAAAUAUAAAAAAAUAAAAAGAGUUAAUUAAAUCUUUCCAUCACCCCAACAAAAUAAAUUUUCAAAUUAAAAAAAUAUCAUACAAAAAAAAUAAAAAUAUAUAUAAACUCUAUAGGGUCUUCUCGUCCCAAAAAAAUAUUUAGGCAUUUUAACCUAAAAUUUAAAUUCAAUAAAUAAAUUAAAGACAGUUUACACCUCGUCAAACCAUUCAUUCCAGCCUACAAUUAAAAGACUAAUGAUUAUGCUACCUUUGCACGGUCAAAAUACCGCGGCCCUUCAAUACUCAGUGGGCAGGCCAUACAUCAAAAUAUAUUCAAGAAGAGAUGUUUUUGAUAAACAGGCG